rnacentral:snRNA from 1 species
AUACAUUUUAAAAAAAAAGAAUCUGUUCUCAUCAGUUUAAUAUCUGAUACGACCCCCAUUGGGGGACUACAUAUUAAAUGGAUUUUUCAAAUCAGGGAGUCGGAAAUGGGGCUUGCUCCAUCCUCUCCACGCAUUGACCCGGUAUUGCAGUACCUCCGGGAACGGUGCAACACUU